UACGUAGGGGGCUAGCGUUGUCCGGAAUCAUUGGGCGUAAAGAGCGUGUAGGCGGUCCGGUAAGUCCGCUGUGAAAGUCGGGGGCUCAACCCUCGAAUGCCGGUGGAUACUGUCGGGCUAGAGUACGGAAGAGGCGAGUGGAAUUCCUGGUGUAGCGGUGAAAUGCGCAGAUAUCAGGAGGAACACCAAUUGCGAAGGCAGCUCGCUGGGACGUUACUGACGCUGAGACGCGAAAGCGUGGGGAGCAGACAGG
rnacentral:rRNA from 1 species